rnacentral:rRNA from 2 species
UGGGAGCUUGCUCCCUGAAGUCAGCGGCGGACGGGUGAGUAACACGUGGGCAACCUGCCUGUAAGACUGGGAUAACUCCGGGAAACCGGGGCUAAUACCGGAUAAUUCUUUCCCUCACAUGAGGGAAAGCUGAAAGAUGGUUUCGGCUAUCACUUACAGAUGGGCCCGCGGCGCAUUAGCUAGUUGGUGAGGUAACGGCUCACCAAGGCGACGAUGCGUAGCCGACCUGAGAGGGUGAUCGGCCACACUGGGACUGAGACACGGCCCAGACUCCUACGGGAGGCAGCAGUAGGGAAUCUUCCGCAAUGGACGAAAGUCUGACGGAGCAACGCCGCGUGAGUGAUGAAGGUUUUCGGAUCGUAAAACUCUGUUGUUAGGGAAGAACAAGUACCGGAGUAACUGCCGGUACCUUGACGGUACCUAACCAGAAAGCCACGGCUAACUACGUGCCAGCAGCCGCGGUAAUACGUAGGUGGCAAGCGUUGUCCGGAAUUAUUGGGCGUAAAGCGCGCGCAGGCGGUUCCUUAAGUCUGAUGUGAAAGCCCCCGGCUCAACCGGGGAGGGUCAUUGGAAACUGGGGAACUUGAGUGCAGAAGAGAAGAGUGGAAUUCCACGUGUAGCGGUGAAAUGCGUAGAGAUGUGGAGGAACACCAGUGGCGAAGGCGACUCUUUGGUCUGUAACUGACGCUGA